rnacentral:rRNA from 1 species
CCUACGGGAGGCAGCAGUGGGGAAUCUUGCGCAAUGGGCGAAAGCCUGACGCAGCCAUGCCGCGUGAAUGAUGAAGGUCUUAGGAUUGUAAAAUUCUUUCACCGAGGACGAUAAUGACGGUACUCGGAGAAGAAGCCCCGGCUAACUUCGUGCCAGCAGCCGCGGUAAUACGAAGGGGGCUAGCGUUGCUCGGAAUUACUGGGCGUAAAGGGAGCGUAGGCGGAUAGUUUAGUCAGAGGUGAAAGCCCAGGGCUCAACCUUGGAAUUGCCUUUGAUACUGGCUAUCUUGAGUACGGAAGAGGUAUGUGGAACUCCGAGUGUAGAGGUGAAAUUCGUAGAUAUUCGGAAGAACACCAGUGGCGAAGGCGACAUACUGGUCCGUUACUGACGCUGAGGCUCGAAAGCGUGGGGAGCAAACAGGAUUAGAUACCCUGGUAGUCCACGCUGUAAACGAUGAGUGCUAGUUGUCGGCAUGCAUGCAUGUCGGUGACGCAGCUAACGCAUUAAGCACUCCGCCUGGGGAGUACGGUCGCAGAUUAAAACGUCAAAGGAAUUGACGG